rnacentral:rRNA from 1 species
GGCAAAGGAUGUGCGUCCGCCCAGACAACCAGGAUGUUGGCUUAGAAGCAGCCAUCCAUUCAAAGAGUGCGUAACAGCUCACUGGUCGAGUGGACAUGCGCCGACAAUACACGGGGCUAAGCUGGACACCGAAGCGGCGGGAUUUUAAUUCAUUAGAAUCGGUAGGGGAGCUUCCCAUGGGCGGAGAAGCCGGAGGGCGACCGACGGUGGAGCGCAUGGGAGUGAGAAUGCUGGCAUGAGUAGCGAGAGACGAGAGAGUAACUCGUCCGCCGUGAACCCGAGGUUUCCUGGGCAAGGCUAAUCCUCCCAGGGUCAGUCGGGGGCUAAGGCGAGGCCGGUAGGCGUAGCCGACGCGCAGCAGGCAGACAUUCCUGCACCGCGCACGCGGCGCUACGACCGACGGGGCGACGGAUGGGGGUGGCUCGGCGGGGUUCUGGACGUCCCCGUGAUGGAGCGCGGCCCGCGGACCAGGGAAAUCCGGUCCGCAGGAGGGCGAGGCUCCGGACGAAGCACUUAAGCGAAGCGAGUGAGCCCGAGGUCCCUAGAAAAACCCCUAGGCAGGCGCGUGCGCGCCCGUACCGCAAACCGACACAGGUGGGUGGGUAGAACAUACCGAGGCGAUCGGGUCAACCAUGGUCAAGGAACUCGGCACAAUGGCCCCGUAACUUCGGGAGAAGGGGUGCCCGCGCGUACGUGAACCGGCUCGCCCGGGGAGCGGAGGCGGGCCGCAGUGGAGAGGCCCAAGCGACUGUUUACCAAAAACACAGGACUCUGCAGAAGCCGCAAGGCGACGUAUAGGGUCUGACGCCUGCCCGGUGCCGGAAGGUCACGCGGAGGAGUUAGCCGAUUCGGCGAAGCCCCGAAGCCAAGCCCCGGUAAACGGCGGCCGUAACUAUAACGGUCCUAAGGUAGCGAAAUUCCUUGUCGGGUAAGUUCCGACCUGCACGAAAGGCGCAACGACUUGGGCGCUGUCUCGACCAUGGACCCGGUGAAAUUGCACUGGUCGUGAAGAUGCGACUUACCCGCGGAAGGACGGAAAGACCCCGUGAACCUUCACUGCAGCUUGGCAUUGGCCGCUGGUCCCGCGUGUAGAGGAUAGGCAGGAGGCACAGAUCCGGAGGCGCCAGCCCCCGGGGAGCCGCCCUUGGAAUACUGCCCUCGCGCGACCGGCGUCCUAACCCGAGGCCGUCAACCGGCUCGGGGACCGUGCCAGGCGGGCAGUUUGACUGGGGCGGUCGCCUCCUAAAGGGUAACGGAGGCGCGCGAAGGUCCGCUCGGGACGGUCGGCAACCGUCCUUUUGAAUGCAAGAGUACAAGCGGGCUUGACUGCGAGGCCCACAAGCCGAGCAGGUGCGAAAGCAGGCUCUAGUGAUCCGGCGGCCCCGAGUGGGUGGGCCGUCGCUCAACGGAUAAAAGGUACUCCGGGGAUAACAGGCUGAUCUUGCCCAAGAGUCCACAUCGACGGCAAGGUUUGGCACCUCGAUGUCGGCUCAUCGCAUCCUGGGGCUGGAGCAGGUCCCAAGGGUACGGCUGUUCGCCGUUUAAAGCGGUACGCGAGCUGGGUUCAGAACGUCGUGAGACAGUUCGGUCCCUAUCCUCCGUGGGCGCAGGAGAAUCGAUGGAGGCUGCCCCCAGUACGAGAGGACCGGGGUGGACGCACCUCCGGUGAACCGGUUGUCGACCAACGGCACGGCCGGGUAGCCGCGUGCGGCGCGGAUAACCGCUGAAGGCAUCUAAGCGGGAAGCCGUUCCAGGGAUUAGUUCUCCUUCCGGUAAGGGCCCAGGUAGACUACCUGGUCGAUAGACGGCAGGUGCAAGGACGGCGACGUCCUCAGCCGAGCCGCACUAAUCGCCCGAGCUCUUCCGGA